UACAGAGGGUGCGAGCGUUAAUCGGAAUUACUGGGCGUAAAGCGUGCGUAGACGGCUAUCUAAGUCGGGUGUGAAAGCCCCGGGCUCAACCUGGGAAUUGCAUUCGAGACUGAAUAGCUAGGGUGCGGUAGAGGGAAGCGGAAUUUCCGGUGUAGCGGUGAAAUGCGUAGAUAUCGGAAGGAACAUCAGUGGCGAAAGCGGCUUCCUGGCCUGUUCUUGACGCUGAGGCGCGAAAGCUAGGGGAGCAAACGGG
rnacentral:rRNA from 1 species